AACACAGGUUGGCCAGGUGCCCGUCACACCAGCCCCAAGUGCCCCAGGGGUCGUGCAGACCUGUCCAGGUGUGCUGCUGACCAGCAGGGCUGGCCGCUCAUGGAGACGCAUCACCAGCCCGCUCCCAGCAUCCUGCUCCAUGAAGGCUGACCGCUCCAUGGCUGGGUCCUCAGGUUCUGAGCUGAAGGAGGAGAAAAAAACCCUGUGAGAGGCCACAGAGCAGGCCCAGGACCCAGAACGGGCAUCUCCUGCCAUGGCAAGGCCUGCAGGCUCCCAACAGUUGGGGUGCCCAGCCGCAUCAGCAGCACCAGGCCACCCCUGCCAAUCGAGGCAUGGGCUUGCUUUCUCUAAUAUUGUUUCUGGGUGCUAAGGUUACAACAGCAAACAAGACUGACUCAUUCCUUUUCUCCACGGGACUUACUGUCUUAUCAUCCCCUGGACUCAAGAUGAGGGUGCUAGGAUGCCCUCCCACACCACCCCAGCUUACCCAGGGGCACACCUCAGGGUAUGUGGACCUGCACAAAGGUCCCUUCCUUAGCCCCAUGAGACACCCCAGGGGACACACAGGUCCACAGAUCCUGCCACAGGCCUGGGAACCCAUUGGCAGGAGAGUAAGACAGUGCAGGGGUCCACAAACAUUUCUUAAGGGGCCAGAGAGUAAAUACUUCAGGCUUUGCAGGCCAGACGUUCUCUGUUGCAAAACGCAAUUCUGCUAUUGUAGCUCAAAGGCGGCUAUAGACAACUCAGAAGUUAAUGAGUGUGUUGUGUCCCAAUGAAACUUGAUUUACAAAAGCAGGAGACUGGCCUGUAGCCUUAGUUUGCCAACCCCUGGAUGAGUGGGUUCCCAGGUCUGCAGUGAGAAGGGGAGAGGCCAGGGCAGUGGCGAGCAGGAGAGAAGGCAGCUGAGGAUGGGAGGCCUACCAGGCCCUGAACAGAGAGUGCGUGCUGCCCACCUUCAUGAGGAGCCGGUGCUGCAGGUCCAGAGGUGCCUCUUUAAAGAAAGAUGCCAGCUUGUCGUAGACGGUCACAGCCCUGCAAUGAAAUCAUGGCAGGACUAUUGCAUUAGUCCAGCGUGGAGGCUACUUUCUGCUCAAACCACUCAUUUGGGUCCCGUGCCCAACGUCACCCAUCCUCAGCAAAACCACCAUUAUUUCCUUCUGCCUGGUUUCCAGAAAGUUCCCCUAAAGCCCUGAGGAAUCACCGAAUGAAAGGGGCUUUUUACAAACAGGAAACUUAAGUGGAGUGCCAAUACACAACAUGGAUUGCAGCAGGCUCGGUCUAAGAUAAAACCAGACGGUGGACAACAGGCCAGGUAAGACCCACAUGGUCUGCACUCCCUGGUUCUGUUAUUGUGUGGAGGAAUGUCUUAGUCUGUUGCUCCUGUGGGUGUAGCUAAAGCACAAACCAGGAGUCCUCAUCCUUAGAAAGCAGUUAGACAGACAUCUGAGAACCAAUCCCAAACUGCAGCCUUCCACAGAACCUUCUGGAACCUUCUGGAAUGCAACUUAUUACUGCCAGAGGGUCUUUGAUGAGAGUCUACUCUCCACCAUUUGUCUUCAGAGAGAAUACCCACCUAUUCUCUUUCCGUGGAAAGGUAAGUUAUUGGAGUUUAUGCAGUCUGGUAUAUUAAUUGAGAGCUUUACUUCAAAGAAUGUCACGUUUAUGGUUCAGUCUCACAGACUGGGUUAAAAAGGCAGUGUUGACUAUUAAGUUGUAAAUUACUAUGAUGAUCAUUAUUAUUGAAGCAAGCUGUGAGAAAUGAGCAUUAUCUUACAAUAUCUGCAUUUUAGUGAACCUGAAGGAAGAGUGUAUUGCUGGAAUUACAGAAGCCUGAGAACCACAGGGGAAUUCUCACUGCAGGGUAUUCAGGGUCAAAAGCUGAUUCUAUUUUGCAUGCUCAAUCCUUCGUCAAUUUAUUUUUAUUUCUUUCUUUAUUUUUUGAGACAGGGUCUUACUCUGUCGCCCAGGCUGGAAGGCCUUGGUGCAAUCUCAGCUCACUGCAACCUCGCCUCCCGGGUUCAAGUGAUUCUCCUGCCUCAGCCUCCCACGUGACUGGGAUUACAGGUUUUUGCUUGUCUGAUGACUGAUGGCUCCACCCAGACCUGCCAACCACUCCCGCGGCCCCAUCCAGAAGUGGCUCAGCGUGCAUGAGGACCAUCUCCAACAUCCCUGUGAUUGUACCCCCAACCAACCAGCAGCAAGAACCUAUUGCCUAGUCACCUCCCCUCUCUUUCCCCAACUAUCAUUGAAAAAGUCUGGCUUCCAAAUUUUCCGGGAGACUGAUUUGGGUAAUAAUAAAACUCCAGUCUUCUGUUCAGCCAGCUCUGCAUGAAUUAAGCUCUUUCUCUAUUGCAAUUUUCCUGUCUUGAUAAAUUGUCUCUACCUGGGCAGGGGGCAAAAUGAACCCAUAGGGUGGUUACAGUACCUUGCUGGGUCACUUGAUAUUCCUGGAGGGUCACGGGAAGCGCUAUGUGAAUCCCACUUCUGAUAUUGUAAGAUUCUCUCCAGGGCCUGAAAGCUUAAGGGGUUGAGCAACUCCUCCCUUCUCAGGCCCAGCCCCAGGGCGCAAGGCCGCUUGCAUCAGCAGCGUGCGUGAGCAGAUGCGCCAGCAAGAUAGCAAAAGCAGGAAGAGAGCCAGCCGGAAGACAAGUACCUCUGAAGAUGGAGAAAGAGGCCAUCUGGGUACAACGUUGCAGUUACGUCAGACCAGGACACUUCCUGUUUACAGGAGACUAUAAAACCUUUGCCCCAUCCUCACUUGGGGCUGACGCCGUUUUAGGCCUCAGCCCGCCAGCACCCAGGCUCUCAUUAAAACAGCAUGUUGCUCCA
ensembl:lncRNA FAM86B3P family with sequence similarity 86, member A pseudogene